CCCCCCCCUCCCCCUCCCCCAAAAAUCUUCCUAAAUUGCCAGUCUUCGCACCAGCCGGCGGAACCCUAGCUCUGGAGCUGCUGCCAGAUCAGGGCGGCGGAAUCGGCGGCUCCUUCCCUGGCGCCGCACUUCGGAGGCUUGCGCCGCUCGGCGCGUCCCCAGUCCGCGUCUUUCCUCCGGCCACACCUUCAGGAUUCGGGCCGCUCCUCUUUACCCCUGCGCGUGCACAUGAUUCUGAUAUGCUUGGUCAAGUUUAGUACAGCCGCUCCCUAUUGAUUCCAUUUUCUCUGAUGCACGGUGGUCGGCCGGCACACCUCUACCUUCUGUCGCAGCGUAUCCAGGCGUCGAGCGCUCUAUGGAAGCAUCCAAUCUCGCCGCUCUGCCAACUUCGCCUGAACGCCGACUGCCAAUGCUCCAUAUACCGUCAUACAAUCUUGCCAUUCUACCUACUUCACCGGAACACCGACCGCCGGUGCUCCAUCUGAGAAUUUCAAAUCGUAGACGAUGGGUGUUGAACUGCUAGAAUAUUUAUGCCCCUUUGCAACACAUGGGCAUAUGUGCUAGCUUAUUCCAAAAGAGAAAAACAUUGGUACUAUGUUGAUAGCGAGGGUGCAAGGCUCAAGGGAAGCAGUUACAAAUUCAAUUCAACAUGUCAGUUGAGGAAGCUGCUGAGUUAGCAUGGUGGGCUAUUUACCAUUCAAUAUUCCUUGACGGAGCUAGUGGUGGCUGUGUUAGUGGCGAAUCAGGAAAGAUUGGUUCCUAAUAUGUGAUGCUUUCGUUUUAAUGGGCUGGAUAAUCAGGAAGGUCCAUGAUAUUUAAGCAGGCAAGAUUCCCAUUGUAUUCCCUGGAAAGUCACUAUCCUUGUGACAAAUAGUAUGAAUUACGUUUUUUCCUGAACAUCUAUCUCCAGAUAAAGCUUCUUCCCCGAACUGGCUUCGACAAGGCAGAACUCAAGGGCUAUACGGUAGUCAUCCAUGUCAGCGUGUACCAGACAAUCAAAAUUUAAGUCUCUUUGAUCCUCUGCUGUAAUCUGGCAAUAAUAUCAGCACAUAAAUUGAUUCGCUUCUUCCAGCGUGCAUGGCAUUCAACUCUCGGUGCAGGUGUUGUUAACCACUCGUUUUCUUCAGCAUGAACAUCAUCUUGGUCGGCCUAUUAACCAAGAAUGUGUUUGAUCCACGCCAUAUGCGUAUUUCCAUCCAAAGUAGAUGAAUUUAUUUGAACCGAGAAAGAGGGCACAGGUAAUAAAAGUCGUUGUCAGUAAUACAUUGUUUCUUUCUGUCACCUCUUUGCCCUGCUAACAAUGUGGGCAGGAAUUGUUUCCGGGUCCACCAAUGCAUCAAGGUUGGUUCAAAUUAUCUUUUCUGGACUGGUUGAAUCCAUCCUUUGCUGUCUAGAGCUUUUGGAGUUGUGGCAUCCUGUGAUUAUGCUCUUUUAUGUGGUAUAAUUCGUUUGACCGGGGAAUCUCGGUAUUAAAAUUUAGUCUUUGCACGGUACUAGUACUAAUGUGUUCUUUGUUUGGCCUUUGAAGAUACAAAUAUUUGUCCAGCGAAUCACGGAUCAAUAAGUCUUACGGUAUUUUCUGAUGCUUUUCAUGGCAGGCUUUUGCUGAUGCUUUUGCUGUUCUAGAAAACGAGCUACUGCAGUUCAGUGCAGAAUGUAACAUGCCUGCAUCAUCAUUUAGCCUACUGAGGGAAAUAAUUCCAAGUAUUGAUUCUAAUGAGUUGUAGCAAUGGAAAGAGCCUGUGAUUCCACAAGCUACAGGAACUGUUGGGUUGGAAUGGCCUCUGCUGUGUCUAGACACCGAGUUACUUACUGCAGCUGGUGGAAAAGGCUUGUUCGAAGGUACAAUGCCAGCUGCCCUUCUCUCGCCUCUGGCUGCUUAGAACCCGAAACCGUUGAUUGAGGUAUUAGGCCGAAUUGGAUGCAAGAGCAAGAUGGUGCUGCACUCUGCACACAGAAGAUCCUUAACCUCGUGCCGGUGGUAUGUGCUGCCAAGGAUGCGGAAAUGGAAUCGCCUAAUGAUGUGUGCUGCCAGACCUAUAAGGUCACUGAGGAGCAGUACAGCAGGUCCGCACAGAACUCCAGAUCCGGAGGAGCACUCGGGAUAAGCUCUAGCAGAGGCUCUACAUGUUUCCUGAAUCAUCUGUUCUCUGAACCUUAGGAAAUGCCUAAGGAAAAUCAGAACAUCCUGGAACAAGUUCUUUGUGCUUUUGGCAGUCAACAUCAGCUUGUGGAACAGGAAAUGGAGAAAUUCUACGAAGGAGGCUACCUGUGUUCGGAAACAGAGUAGGAAGCAACUCCUACUUGGAGCUGGUACAAGGCUUGAUACUGGAUGUGGUGUCCGGUGUAGCAAAGCGAUUUUCAGAUCGUCGUUUCUCUGGAACAGCAAGAUUGUUCCUUGAACACACCAAGAGGGUAACUGCCAUGAUUACUGCCGUGAUCUCGAGUACCAGAUUCUUCGUUGCAGUUACUCGCCAAUGGGAUUGCCGAGCUACUCUUCAGUUACAGUCAGAGCAAUCUUUAUGGCAUCAGGGACAUGGUCAGGUGACGGCGUUGGCUCGUCUUAUAAAGGCAGACUUCGUUUCCUGCAGCUGAUGAGAUUCAAGUUGCUGCUUUUGUAGCGAAGCACACUUCGGUUCCUGCUUUCGUAGCGAAGCAGAUUUAAGUUACCGCUUUUGUAGUUUACUCCAACACAAAUUUGAAACUAGCAUGUUCUUGAUUUGUUGCGCUGAUGUAGUGAUGUUCUUGCGCUUUCUUUCUUGUGCAAGUAUCGAUUUUUGCUUUCUCUGUCACAAGCUAUUCUCAGAACUAAGAAUUCUUUAAAAAAAAUA